GGGAGAGGUAGGGUGAGGCUGGGGGGGAGAGAGGAGUUAAGAGGCAGGUCUGUGUGGGGCAGUAGGCUGACGAAGCCUUGCCCUUGGAGGCGUUGUUUGACCUCUGACACCGCAGCAAAACGGUUGAGCAUCACUCCAUACUGCCAGCACCCAGGGUUCAACAACACAGCCCUGUAGGAGACAGGAGGAGAGGAGAGGAGGUUGAGCAUCACUCCAUACUGCCAGCACCCAGGGUUCAACAACACAGCCCUGUAGGAGACAGGAGGAGAGGAGAGGAGGUUGAGCAUCACUCCAUACUGCCAGCACCCAGGGUUCAACAACACAGCCCUGUAGGAGACAGGAGGAGAGGAGAGGAGGUUGAGCAUCACUCCAUACUGCCAGCACCCAGGGUUCAACAACACAGCCCUGUAGGAGACAGGAGGAGAGGAGAGGAGGUUGAGCAUCACUCCAUACUGCCAGCACCCAGGGUUCAACAACACAGCCCUGUAGGAGACAGGAGGAGAGGAGAGGAGGUUGAGCAUCACUCCAUACUGCCAGCACCCAGGGUUCAACAACACAGCCCUGUAGGAGACAGGAGGAGAGGAGAGGAGGUUGAGCAUCACUCCAUACUGCCAGCACCCAGGGUUCAACAACACAGCCCUGUAGGAGACAGGAGGAGAGGAGGUUGAGCAUCACUCCAUACUGCCAGCACCCAGGG